rnacentral:rRNA from 1 species
UACGAAGGGGGCUAGCGUUGCUCGGAAUCACUGGGCGUAAAGCGCACGUAGGCGGAUCUUUAAGUCGGGGGUGAAAUCCUGGAGCUCAACUCCAGAACUGCCUUCGAUACUGAAGAUCUCGAGUCCGGGAGAGGUGAGUGGAACUGCGAGUGUAGAGGUGAAAUUCGUAGAUAUUCGCAAGAACACCAGUGGCGAAGGCGGCUCACUGGCCCGGUACUGACGCUGAUGAGCGAAAGCCAGGGGAGCAAACGGG